rnacentral:rRNA from 1 species
UGAUGCAGCGACGCCGCGUGAGGGAUGACGGCCUUCGGGUUGUAAACCUCUUUCAGCACAGACGAAGCGCAAGUGACGGUAUGUGCAGAAGAAGGACCGGCCAACUACGUGCCAGCAGCCGCGGUAAUACGUAGGGUCCGAGCGUUGUCCGGAAUUACUGGGCGUAAAGAGCUCGUAGGUGGUUUGUCGCGUUGUUCGUGAAAACUCACAACUCAAUUGUGGGCGUGCGGGCGAUACGGGCAGACUUGAGUACUGCAGGGGAGACUGGAAUUCCUGGUGUAGCGGUGGAAUGCGCAGAUAUCAGGAGGAACACCGGUGGCGAAGGCGGGUCUCUGGGCAGUAACUGACGCUGAGGAGCGAAAGCGUGGGGAGCGAACAGGAUUAGAUACCCUGGUAGUCCACGCCGUAAACGGUGGGUACUAGGUGUGGGUUUCCUUCCUUGGGAUCCGUGCCGUAGCUAACGCAUUAAGUACCCCGCCUGGGGAGUACGGCCGCAAGGCUAAAACUCAAAGAAAUUGACGGGGGCCCGCACAAGCGGCGGAGCAUGUGGAUUAAUUCGAUGCAACGCGAAGAACCUUACCUGGGUUUGACAUGCACAGGACGCCGGCAGAGAUGUCGGUUCCCUUGUGGCCUGUGUGCAGGUGGUGCAUGGCUGUCGUCAGCUCGUGUCGUGAGAUGUUGGGUUAAGUCCCGCAACGAGCGCAACCCUUGUCCUAUGUUGCCAGCGGGUUAUGCCGGGGACUCGUAGGAGACUGCCGGGGUCAACUCGGAGGAAGGUGGGGAUGACGUCAAGUCAUCAUGCCCCUUAUGUCCAGGGCUUCACACAUGCUACAAUGGCCGGUACAAAGGGCUGCGAUGCCGUGAGGUGGAGCGAAUCCUUUCAAAGCCGGUCUCAGUUCGGAUCGGGGUCUGCAACUCGACCCCGUGAAGUCGGAGUCGCUAGUAAUCGCAGAUCAGCAACGCUGCGGUGAAUACGUUCCCGGGCCUUGUACACACCGCCCGUCACGUCAUGAAAGUCGGUAACACCCGAAGCCGGUGGCCUAACCCCUUGUGGGAGGGAGCCGUCG